UACGUAGGGCGCAAGCGUUAUCCGGAAUUACUGGGCGUAAAGCGUGCGCAGGCGGUUCGUUGUGUCGGUGGUGAAAGCCCCGGGCUUAACCUGGGAAUGGCCAUGGAAACUGGCGAACUGGAGUGUGGCAGAGGGGGGUGGAAUUCCGCGUGUAGCGGUGAAAUGCGCAGAUAUCGGGAAGAACACCCGUGGCGAAGGCGGUUCUCUGGGACGGUACUGGACGCUGAGACGCGAAAGCGUGGGGAGCGAACAG
rnacentral:rRNA from 1 species